ensembl:snoRNA
GUCCAAAGUUAUUCCCUCUCCAAGGGGCUACCUAGUGCUCCUCUCAGGAAAGUAGCAACUUGGAAUAAAAUCUAGGGAGCCCAAGGUCUUUGGGAGAGAGGGGAUGUUUUUCCUUUUGCCUUCCUUUGGCUGCCUACAUAU